rfam:Hydrocarboniphaga effusa AP103 245_2, whole genome shotgun sequence.
CCGGGGGUUCUGCCCCCCGCAGCCUAGGAACGGUGCCCAACUGGUAACGGUUAGGUGCUGAGCGUUCUGACAACGUAAUUCCCCUGAGGGGCGCGUAUGCCCCGUGAGGGGAGACGUGCGUGUGCGAGAUGCGCGUACACGGAUGC